GUGACAGCAGGAGGUGAGAGAAAACCCUGUUUUAUAUAUAUAGAUACUCACUUUUCUAUUUGUUGAUAUUUUUGUAUUUUGGUCAACUAAAACGCAAGUGUCCAUUUUUGAGUUUUUUUUUUCUGUCCCACAAAUUUUGUUAAUUGGCAAAUAGGUGUGGACAUCCACUUGUUACCAAUCAGAUUUAUUAUUUCUUUUUUUUUUCAAUCAUUCUAACAUUUUAUGCCUACGUUUUUUAUACUAAAAUUUUCUUAUCGUUUGUGUUACAUUAAGAUAAUAAGAUCUGGUUUUUUUCUGAAUUACAAUGUAUAUACUAUAAAAUAAAAUUAAAAAUCUAGGAAAAUAAACAACAGAUCCUAACUUCUGAAAAAAAUUAAAGAUUGAAGUUACUAAUCCUCUUGACAAAAAUUUAUCACUCCAACGGUUAGC
rnacentral:lncRNA from 1 species